GUUACUCCUACGACUCCUCUACGCUCCUACACAUUCGCUCCGCGCCUACCAUAGAAACUCAUAGAAACUAACGACGGCAAUGACGGCAAUUCACGCGUUCGCAUGUGGCUCCUCUCUUUCAUGCCGCCAGUUCGCUCCGUAAGCGUGCGCUUCAUUCGCAAUUCAAACGUCGCCCACUCCGGUUUGAGUACUCCAAAACAUUCACAUAAAUCCACUAUUCUGCAUCAUUUUAUAAAACUCACAUAUUGCCACACAUUUCACAGUGGCAACAAUUUUAAUCUGAAACAGGCAAUUUUCAUCUGCGAUUGAAACACUAACGCUACCUGCGCACAACCCAAGUUAAGUUACAUUGAAUUAAAUUCUACUACUAAACUCGAAACCAAGCCAUGGGAUUAUAAACUAUCUAAAAGUACUAGUGAACUAUGUUUAAACUUUUGUGCUUUUCUGAGUCUGCAAAUAGAAACGGUAACAGCGAUUUCCUUCCGUUAAAAUAAUCGUACAUAACAUUAAUUUCGUGUAACUACCAAUGUACCUAUAUAUCAUUUGGCCCCCGUUGACGUGAUUCACGCGAAUUGUGGAUAUCCACGGAAAUACUUGCGCCGAGUUAAGCCAACGCAAUAAAAUGUAUUUUUGGUUUAUGUGCAAAUGCAAUACGAAUGAACGGCAUGGUAUAUA